CUGUGAAUCGUCGCAUUCUGAUGUUUGAACGCUGCUUCGGUGAUGCCGUUUCCGAUUGAUGCAAAAUUGGUAGUUGAAGAUGUUGAACGUAGUGGAGAUCGAUGUCGCGUCAAAGUUUCUUGAAGAUGAGGUUCUGAGAUUGACAAGAGUUUCGGUUGUCGAAGAAUCUGGUGAAGGAAAUCUGAUGAUUGAAGGUGAUGUUGGAGAUCGGAGAAGAGGUAGUCGGAGAUGUUGCGAUUUCAUUUUCAGAUCGAAGCUUGCGAAGUUGUGGCGAUGAUGAUGAUGUCAACGCGUGGAUGAAGAUUGUUGCAGAGAUAUUGAAUCGAGAGAGAAAGAUGAAGAUUGAUUUUGAUGAGUUAUGGCGGUGAUCGAAUUGAAGAUGAAUAUGCGAUGAAGGUGAUGAGAAAGAAGAUAGGAGAAAAGUUUGUUACAUUUCGGUUAGAGAAUGAAGAUGAUGAAGAUGAUAGAAAGAUAUGAAGAGCGUGAUUGUGGUGGUGAUGAAAUGGAAGCGUGAAGAUGAAGGAUUGUUGAAGACGAUGAAGAAAAUCUCGCGAGUGCAAAAGUUUGUUACAGGGUGCAAGGUUCGGUUUAUUGGAGCAUGUGUACGAACCGCUUCUUUUGGCUCUGAUAGCAGUAGAAGUUCUGGAAGUCUUGG